rnacentral:rRNA from 1 species
CCCUUAGAUGUUCUGGGCCGCACGCGCGCUACACUGAUGCAUUCAACGAGCCUAUCCUUGACCGACAGGUCCGGGUAAUCUUUGAAUCUGCAUCGUGACGGGGAUAGAUUAUUGCAAUUAUUAAUCUUCAACGAGGAAUGCCUAGUAGGCGCAAGUCAUCAGCUUGCGUCGAUUACGUCCCUGCCCUUUGUACACACCGCCCGUCGCUCCUACCGAUUGGGUGUGCUGGUGAAAUGUUCGGAUCGGCCGUUUGUCGCGGUUUCCGCGUCAUGUGGCUGAGAAGUUCAUUAAACCCUCCCACCUAGAGGAUGGAGAAGUCGUAACA